rfam:Otolemur garnettii contig086087, whole genome shotgun sequence.
GCCAGACACGGUGAUGCUGCCUACAGACCCAGCUACUCAGGAGGCUUAGACGGGAGGAUUACUUGAGUCCAAGAGUUCCAGGCUCUAGUGCACUAAUGCAGAUUGGGUGUUCACACUAAGUAUAGUAUCAAUAUGGCGACCUCCUGGAGCAGGGAGCCACCAGGUUACCUAAGGAAGUGUGAACCAGCCCAGGUCACAAAUGGAGCAGGUCAAAACUCCGUGCUGAUCAGUAGUGGGAUCACACCUGUGAACAGUCACUGUACUCCAACCUGGGCAACAUAGUGAGACCCUGUCUCUA